GAGGAAUAUUGGUCAAUGGACGGAAGUCUGAACCAGCCAAGUAGCGUGCAGGAUGACGGCCCUAUGGGUUGUAAACUGCUUUUGUAUGGGGAUAAAGUUAGGGACGUGUCCCUAUUUGCAGGUACCAUACGAAUAAGGACCGGCUAAUUCCGUGCCAGCAGCCGCGGUAAUACGGAAGGUCCAGGCGUUAUCCGGAUUUAUUGGGUUUAAAGGGAGCGUAGGCUGGAGAUUAAGUGUGUUGUGAAAUGUAGACGCUCAACGUCUGAAUUGCAGCGCAUACUGGUUUCCUUGAGUACGCACAACGUUGGCGGAAUUCGUCGUGUAGCGGUGAAAUGCUUAGAUAUGACGAAGAACUCCGAUUGCGAAGGCAGCUGACGGGAGCGCAACUGACGCUUAAGCUCGAAGGUGCGGGUAUCAAACAGGAUUAGAUACCCUGGUAGUCCGCACAGUAAACGAUGGAUGCCCGCUGUUGGUACCUGGUAUCAGCGGCUAAGCGAAAGCAUUAAGCAUCCUACCUGGGGAGUACGCCGGCAACGGUG
rnacentral:rRNA from 1 species